rnacentral:rRNA from 1 species
AUUGAACGCUGGCGGCAGGCCUAACACAUGCACGUCGAACGAGUGGCGGACGGGUGAGUAAUGUCUGGGAAACUGCCUGAUGGAGGGGGAUAACUACUGGAAACGGUCGCUAAUACCGCAUACCAUCGGAUGUGCCCAGAUGGGAUUAGCUUGUUGGGGGGGUAACGGCUCACCAAGGCGACGAUCCCUAGCUGGUCUGAGCGGAUGGCCAGACACACUGGAACUGGGACACGGUCCAGACUCCUACGGGAGGCAGCAGUGGGGAAUAUUGCACAAUGGGCGCAAGCCUGAUGCAGCCAUGCCGCGUGUAUGAAGAAGGCCUGCGGGUUGUAAAGUACUGUCAGCGGGGAGGCGUGACCCGCAGAAGAAGCACCGGCUAACUCCGUGCCAGCAGACGCGGUAAUUC